AUUGAACGCUGGCGGCAUGCCUUACACAUGCAAGUCGAACGGUAACAGGUCUUCGGAUGCUGACGAGUGGCGAACGGGUGAGUAAUACAUCGGAACGUGCCCGAGAGUGGGGGAUAACGAAGCGAAAGCUUUGCUAAUACCGCAUACGAUCUCAGGAUGAAAGCAGGGGACCGCAAGGCCUUGCGCUCACGGAGCGGCCGAUGGCAGAUUAGGUAGUUGGUGGGAUAAAAGCUUACCAAGCCGACGAUCUGUAGCUGGUCUGAGAGGACGACCAGCCGCACUGUGACUGAGACACGGCCCGGACUCCUACGGGAGGCAGCGGUGGGGAAUGUUGGACAAUGGGCGCAAGCCUGAUCCAGCAAUGCCGCGUGCAGGAUGAAGGCCUUCGGGUUGUAAACUGCUUUUGUACGGAACGAAAAGCCCUGGGUUAAUACCCUGGGGUCAUGACGGUACCGUAAGAAUAAGCACCGGCUAACUACGUGCCAGCCGCCGCAGUAAGAC
rnacentral:rRNA from 1 species